CCAUGCAGUCGAGCGGAAGGCCCUUCGGGGUACUCGAGCGGCGAACGGGUGAGUAACACGUGAGCAACCUGCCCCAGGCUUUGGGAUAACCCCGGGAAACCGGGGCUAAUACCGAAUAUGACCUCUGACCGCAUGGUUGGUGGUGGAAAGUUUUUCGGCUUGGGAUGGGCUCGCGGCCUAUCAGCUUGUUGGUGGGGUGAUGGCCUACCAAGGCGACGACGGGUAGCCGGCCUGAGAGGGCGACCGGCCACACUGGGACUGAGACACGGCCCAGACUCCUACGGGAGGCAGCAGUGGGGAAUAUUGCACAAUGGGCGGAAGCCUGAUGCAGCGACGCCGCGUGAGGGAUGACGGCCUUCGGGUUGUAAACCUCUUUCAGCAGGGACGAAGCGUAAGUGACGGUACCUGCAGAAGAAGCGCCGGCCAACUACGUGCCAGCAGCCGCGGUAAGACGUAGGGCGCGAGCGUUGUCCGGAUUUAUUGGGCGUAAAGAGCUCGUAGGCGGCUUGUCGCGUCGACCGUGAAAACUUGGGGCUCAACCCCAAGCCUGCGGUCGAUACGGGCAGGCUAGAGUUCGGUAGGGGAGACUGGAAUUCCUGGUGUAGCGGUGAAAUGCGCAGAUAUCAGGAGGAACACCGGUGGCGAAGGCGGGUCUCUGGGCCGAUACUGAC
rnacentral:rRNA from 1 species